UAAAGAGUUUUAUCGAGAGCAAUUUUUUUUUUUUUGGCAUUGUGUUCUUUCUCUUCCUCUCUCUCGCAAAUCUCUCAAUCGGAGAAGACGGGAAUCGAAGGAGAUUGGACUGGAAUCGGGUCUUGUUACCGGAUUGAAUCCUGGUCAAUAUGAGGAACACAUGAACCGUGGAGCUGGUUUCUAUGUUGUUCCUGUGCAUCAAUUUGUUUUUAUUGUUUAGCACUAGACAUCGCACCUUGCGAUUUUGCAGGAUAAAGAAGCAGAGAAAGAGGGUGAUGGUUUGAGGAGAGGGCUUCGGUUCCAUGCAAAUUCUCCACGAACACGAACAACUCUGUUGCAGACAAGGCUUAACAAAUUGGUAGACACUUUCACACCUCUUGCUCCUUGUUCUGCUUAGUUGAAGCUCUCCUGCAGCCUACCCAUGCUCUGAUGCAGUUCCAGAUAUUACAUCGCUGAAGGUUAGGCCUUUAGAGCUACCAGAAUCUCAUGUGUGUGUUGUUGUUCUUUGAAAUCUAAAUGGACUUGGUGCCCACGCCCAACCACACUCAGCAAUGGUUCGUGUUUCAGUCUGAUGGUUCAUUCAUUGUGAGUGCAAUCUUCUUGUGUACUUUGUCAUCUUGUAUCCAAAUCUCUGUUUGGUAAUCAUUGUAUCGAGAGAAUACAAUUAAUUUGUCUAAUCUCUGUUUGGUAAUCAACAGUUUGCUUUGUUGAUCUGUUCCAUAUUUUGUUUCUUUUG